ACGAACGCUGGCGGCGUGCUUAACACAUGCAAGUCGUACGGUAAGGCCCUUUCGGGGGUACACGAGUGGCGAACGGGUGAGUAACACGUGAGUAACCUGCCCACAACUUUGGGAUAACGCUAGGAAACUGGUGCUAAUACUGGAUAUGUGCUCCUGCUGCAUGGUGGGGGUUGGAAAGCUCCGGCGGUUGUGGAUGGACUCGCGGCCUAUCAGCUUGUUGGUGGGGUAGUGGCCUACCAAGGCGGCGACGGGUAGCCGGCCUGAGAGGGUGACCGGCCACAUUGGGACUGAGAUACGGCCCAGACUCCUACGGGAGGCAGCAGUGGGGAAUAUUGCACAAUGGGCGCAAGCCUGAUGCAGCAACGCCGCGUGCGGGAUGACGGCCUUCGGGUUGUAAACCGCUUUCAACAGGGACGAAGCUUUUUGUGACGGUACCUGCAGAAGAAGCACCGGCUAACUACGUG
rnacentral:rRNA from 1 species